rnacentral:rRNA from 1 species
AUUGAACGCUGGCGGCAUGCCUUACACAUGCAAGUCGAACGGUAAGGAGGGCUUCGGCCCUCCCUAGAGUGGCGAACGGCUGAGUAACACGUAGGAACCUACCCUCCGGCUCGGGAUAACGGACCGAAAGGCCCGCUAAUACCGGAUACAUCCGCAAGGAGGAAAGGCUUGCCACCGGGAGAGGGGCCUGCGGCGUAUUAGCUUGAUGGUGGGGUAAUGGCCUACCAUGGCGAUGAUGCGUAGCUGGUCUGAGAGGACGAUCAGCCAGACUGGGACUGAGACACGGCCCAGACUCCUACGGGAGGCAGCAGUUCAGAAUCUUGCACAAUGGGCGAAAGCCUGAUGCAGCGAUGCCGCGUGUGCGAAGAAGGCCUUCGGGUCGUAAAGCACUGUCAGAGGGGACGAUUAUGACGGUACCCUCAGAGGAAGCCACGGCUAAUUACGUGCCAGCAGCCGCAGUAAAAC